UGGGGAAUAUUGCACAAUGGGCGCAAGCCUGAUGCAGCCAUGUCGCGUGUAUGAAGAAGGCCUUCGGGUUGUAAAGUACUUUCAGCGGGGAGGAAGGGAGUAAAGUUAAUACCUUUGCUCAUUGACGUUACCCGCAGAAGAAGCACCGGCUAACUCCGUGCCAGCAGCCGCGGUAAUACGGAGGGUGCAAGCGUUAAUCGGAAUUACUGGGCGUAAAGCGCACGCAGGCGGUCUGUCAAGUCGGAUGUGAAAUCCCCGGGCUCAACCUGGGAACUGCAUUCGAAACUGGCAGGCUAGAGUCUUGUAGAGGGGGGUAGAAUUCCAGGUGUAGCGGUGAAAUGCGUAGAGAUCUGGAGGAAUACCGGUGGCGAAGGCGGCCCCCUGGACAAAGACUGACGCUCAGGUGCGAAAGCGUGGGGAGCAAACAGG
rnacentral:rRNA from 1 species